AAGGAAUAUUGCUCAAUGGCCGAAAGGCUGAAGCAGCAACGCCGCGUGAAGGAUGAAGGGCUUUUGCUUGUAAACUUCUGUAGUGAGGGAAAAAAUUUCCACUCUGUGGAAUAUGAUGGUACCUCAAAAGUAAGCCCCGGCUAACUACGUGCCAGCAGCCGCGGUAAUACGUAGGGGGCAAACGUUGUCCGGAUUUACUGGGUGUAAAGGGUGCUCAGGCGGUUUAGUAAGUUAGAAGUGAAAUCCUAGGGCUUAACUCUGGAACUGCUUUUAAUACUGCUAAGCUUGAAUGUGGAAGAGGAGGAUGGAAUUUCUGGUGUAGCAGUGAAAUGCGUAGAUAUCAGAAAGAACACCAGUGGCGAAGGCGGUCCUCUGGUCCACUAUUGACGCUAAAGCACGAAAGCGUGGGGAGCAAAC
rnacentral:rRNA from 1 species